GAUGAACGCUGGCGGCGUGCCUAAUACAUGCAAGUCGAGCGAACGGACGAGAAGCUUGCUUGUCUGAUGUUAGCGGCGGACGGGUGAGUAACACGUGGAUAACCUACCUAAAAGACUGGGAUAACUUCGGGAAACCGGAGCUAAUAUCGGAUAAUAUUUUGAACCGCAUGGUUCAAAGGUGAAAGACGGUGUUGCUGUCACUUAUAGAUGGAUCCGCGCUGCAUUAGGUAGUUGGUAAGGUAACGGCUUACCAAGGCAACGAUGCAUAGCCGACCUGAGAGGGUGAUAGGCCACACUGGAACUGAGACGCGGUCCAGACUCCUACGGGAGGCAGCAGUAGGGAAUCUUCCGCAAUGGGCGAAAGCCUGACGGAGCAACGCCGAGUGAGUGAUGAAGGUCUUGGGAUCGUAAAACUCUGUUAUUAGGGAAGAACAUAUGUGUAAGUAAAUGUGCACAUAUUGACGGUACCGAAUAAGAAAGCAACGGCUAACUACGUG
rnacentral:rRNA from 1 species